rnacentral:rRNA from 1 species
UACGUAGGGUGCGAGCGUUGUCCGGAAUUAUUGGGCGUAAAGAGCUCGUAGGCGGUGUGUCGCGUCGGCCGUGAAAACCUGGGGCUCAACUCUGGGCGUGCGGUCGAUACGGGCAUCACUUGAGUUCGGCAGGGGAGACUGGAAUUCCUGGUGUAGCGGUGAAAUGCGCAGAUAUCAGGAGGAACACCGGUGGCGAAAGGCGGGUCUCUGGGCCGAUACUGACGCUGAGGAGCGAAAGCGUGGGGAGCGAACAGG